rnacentral:lncRNA from 13 species
AUGGGGUCAGACUGUGUAGGAAUUUUAGGUAACUAUAAGGACUUGGGCUCUUACUCUGAGUUUGGUAGAUGUGGAGAUGACCAGAUCCCUCUCAAGGAAAGACUAAAUGCCCCAUUGUGGGAAUGUGGUUGGCAGCAGGCUCCAGGUGUUAGUGCCUUUAAGAGCUGUCUCAGCUACAGAGCUGCUCAUUCGAAGUUAUGCCCUUCCCAGGACAGUCCAAAUCUGAGAACUUGGCAAGUUGGGUAUAUAAGGUCUGGCCAUUUCGGCUCUUCAAGUUCACUUUUACAGGCCGUAUUUGUUUUACAGGCAGAGCUGGUUGGCCAAUGCUCUGCCAGGCCUUACUGCAGCUCAACUUCUUCCUGCCUGAUACUACCCAAUUCUGCCUCCUCUUCUUUCCUUUCACAGGGAAUCUGUGAACAUCUUGAACUUCAAACACUAUCUCCACAUCUGCUUCUGGAGAUGCAGCUGGUGAUGAUGAGAUAUAAAAUGUGUUCAACAACAGUUGUGGGCUGUUCAGCUCUACCAAGAAGUGUCAGAACAGAAAAAACAACAAGUCUGACCACAGCUGAAGAAGCAAGUAUGUAAACUUCAGGCUACUCAUCACAGUGCAGAGUGAUUUCACCUAAGCCACAACAGCAGCUGGUUGCCACGAUACAAACAAGAGUUGCCACUUACCGACCACAGCUAUGUGCCAGGUAAGUCAAAUGAGGAAGAAUACCUUCAGUGUGGGGGAGAAACAGGUCUUUAGUGUCUCCUUAGUCCAGUGGCUCUCAAAGUAUAUAAUGG